CUACGGGGGGCACCAGUGGGGAAUAUUGGACAAUGGGGGAAACCCUGAUCCAGCAAUGCCGCGUGUGAAGAAGGCCUGCGGGUUGUAAAGCACUUUCGGUUGGGAGGACUGCUUCUAGCACUAAUAUUGUUGGAAGUUGACGUUACCUUCAGAAGAAGCACCGGCUAACUCCGUGCCAGCAGCCGCGGUAAUACGGAGGGUGCAAGAGUUAAUCGGAAUUACUGGGCGUAAAGCGCGCGUAGGCGGCUAGAUCAGUCGGGUGUGAAAGCCCCGGGCUUAACCUGGGAACUGCAUCCGAUACUGUCUAGCUUGAGUACAGGAGAGGAGAGUGGAAUUCCACAUGUAGCGGUGAAAUGCGUAGAUAUGUGGAGGAACACCAAUGGCGAAGGCAGCUCUCUGGCCUGAUACUGACGCUGAGGUGCGAAAGCGUGGGGAGCAAACAGGAUUAGAUACCCCUGUAGUC
rnacentral:rRNA from 1 species